AUGGUCCUUCUCAUGAGGUUAGAUCACAUACACUCAUUUUUUUUGAGACAGUUUUGCUCCUGUUGCCCAGGCUGGAGUGCAAUGGCACGAUCUCGGCUCACCGCAACCUCUGCUUCCCAGGAUCAAGUGAUUCUCCUGCCUCAGCCUCCCGAGUAUCUGGGAUUACAGGGUUCAAACCAAGGCAGCCAGGCUCUGGAGGGCACACUCCUUGCCAGGACACGGCAUGUUAGCAGGGAUGAAGUUUUGCUUUUGAUGCCCAGGCUGGAGUGCAAUGGCGAAAUCUCAACUCACUGCAACCUCUGCCUCCCCGGUUCAAGCGAUUCUCCUGCCUCAGCCUCCCAAGCAGCUGGGAUUACAGGCACCCACCUAAUUUUUUUGUAUUCUUAGUAGAGACAGGGGUUUCACCCUGUUGGCCAGGCUGGUCUUGAACUUCUGACCUCAGGUGAACCACCUGCCUCAGCCUCCCAUAGUGCUGGAAUUACAGGCACGAGCCACUGUGCCCGGGCCACUAAAUCCUAAUAAAAAGUGAUUUGGGUUUUAACA
rnacentral:lncRNA from 13 species